GCUAGUCCGCGUGACCUGGCGGGUGUUGGAACGCAAAGGGCUGGAACGUCCCGGGCUGCGGAGGUCAUUUGGUUGGGAUGAACUCGUUCAGACUUGAGUGCUAGGACGCCGAAGGGGGCGUGAGGCGUCCCGGCGCGGGACUGGGGUUGUCUGCAGUUUAAAAGUCAUGUGGCUCUCGGAGAUGUGCGGACUGCAUUCCCGGGCUUCACCGCUAAGGGAGCUCUGGGCUGUGCGAUGGGGAAGGAAGAGGGUGUCGGGGCAGUGCAGUCGGGAUGGGAGGAGAGUGUCAGGGCUACUGGCCCCCGGCUCGGGAGAGGGCAGUGUGGGGCCGCGCGACUGCAAGGAGUGGGUGUGGUGUGAGGCUGGCGCAGGAGCGGGCUGGGAAUGUUAGGAGGUCUGGGGUAUCGCGGCCCUGCGUUCUCUUGGCUGGACUAAAAGUCUGUGCAGUUCUCCCCGGACCUGGAUUGUGCGCCCAGCGACAGGUGCUUGGCAAUCUGUGCUCGAUGUGCCCGCGAGGCUGUGGUGGGAGCCCUGUCUGCACGGGAUUCUGUGUGGCUGAGCAUAACCCAGAAGAGGAGAGAACUGCUGUGCAUCUGAAGUGAUGGCAGAGGUGUGAUCUUGUUGAAUCCACGUAACAACCCUAUUAGACAGAUUGGGAGUUUGGAAGAGAAACCAAGAAUUUAUCUCCAAAGGAAAACAUUUAUGAAAUUAGAUCACCGCAACAGGAGAGGGUCAGAGUUAUCAGAGAAAUCAGAUGCCAGGUAGACAGACAACAGGGUCUCCAGGAGGGACAUUUCAGACAAGCUGUAAUACCAUUUACUUCCAUGCAGUGCACAGCCCAUAGAGAACAUCAGUGGAUUCAUACUGGAGAGAAAUCCUGUGAAUGCAGGAAAUGUAAGAAUGCUUUCAGGUGCCAGUCAUGUCCUAUUCAACAUGAAAUAAUUCAUAAUAAGGAAAAAGACCCUGACUGUGGAGAAUGUAGGAAAAUCUUUAAUAGUGGAUCAGACUUGAU